rnacentral:rRNA from 1 species
CCUACGGGGGGCAGCAGUGAGGAAUAUUGGUCAAUGGCCGGAAGGCUGAACCAGCCAAGCCGCGUGAGGGAGGAAGGCGCAGAGCGUCGCAGACCUCUUUUGCCGGGGGACAAAAGGCCGGACUCGUCCGGUCCUGAGGGUACCCGGAGAAAAAGCAUCGGCUAACUCCGUGCCAGCAGCCGCGGUAAUACGGAGGAUGCGAGCGUUAUCCGGAUUUAUUGGGUUUAAAGGGUGCGCAGGCGGCGUGUCAAGUCAGCGGUAAAAUGUCGGGGCUCAACCCCGGCCGGCCGUUGAAACUGGCGUGCUCGAGUUGGAGAGAAGUAUGCGGAAUUCGUGGUGUAGCGGUGAAAUGCAUAGAUAUCAGGAGGAACACCGGUGGCGAAGGCGGCCUGCUGGACUGCAACUGACGUUGAGGCCCGAAAGCGUGGGGAGCAAACAGGAUUAGAUACCCUAGUAGUC